UCGGGUUUCGACUCGACCCACAAAACCUUGACCUCAAAUCGGGUGAGACUACCCGCUGAACUUAAGCAUAUCAAUAAGCGGAGGAAAAGAAACUAACAAGGAUUCCCCUAGUAACUGCGAGUGAAGCGGGAAAAGCUCAAAUUUAAAAUCUGGUGGCCUUUGGUCAUCCGAGUUGUAAUUUAGAGAAGCGUCUUCCGCGCUGAACCGUGCACAAGUCUCCUGGAAUGGAGCGUCAUAGAGGGUGAGAAUCCCGUCUUUGGCACGGAACAUCAGGGCUUCUGUGAUGCGCUCUCGACGAGUCGAGUUGUUUGGGAAUGCAGCUCAAAAUGGGUGGUGAACUCCAUCUAAAGCUAAAUAUUGGCGAGAGACCGAUAGCGAACAAGUACCGUGAGGGAAAGAUGAAAAGCACUUUGGAAAGAGAGUGAAACAGUACGUGAAAUUGUUGAAAGGGAAACGCUUGAAGUCAGUCGCGUCGACCGAGACUCAGCCUUGCCUUGGCUUGGUGUAUUUCUCGG
rnacentral:rRNA from 1 species